rnacentral:rRNA from 1 species
AGAACGAACGCUGGCGGCAGGCUUAACACAUGCAAGUCGAGCGCAUCCUUCGGGGUGAGCGGCGGACGGGUGAGUAACGCGUGGGAACGUGCCCUCUUCUACGGAAUAGCCCAGGGAAACUUGGAUUAAUGCCGUAUACGCCCGGUAACGGGGAAAGAUUUAUCGGAGGAGGAUCGGCCCGCGUUGGAUUAGGUAGUUGGUGGGGUAAUGGCCUACCAAGCCGACGAUCCAUAGCUGGUUUGAGAGGAUGAUCAGCCACACUGGGACUGAGACACGGCCCAGACUCCUACGGGAGGCAGCAGUGGGGAAUCUUGGACAAUGGGGGCAACCCUGAUCCAGCCAUGCCGCGUGAUCGAUGAAGGCCUUAGGGUUGUAAAGAUCUUUCAGCUGGGAAGAUAAUGACGGUACCAGCAGAAGAAGCCCCGGCUAACUCCGCGCCAGCAGCCGC